rnacentral:lncRNA from 1 species
UCGUUCUUACCAACUUCUUUCUCUUCUAUAAAUUAACUGAAAUUAUUUCAUUAAUCUAACUCGUUUCAAGGUUAAUCAUCCUUCAUCAUGGCUUACUAACGUUCUUACAUCAUUAAACUGUUACUCGAUCGUCAUUGGUGAAGUACCAAUGUUGAAUACCAUUCACGGUUUACUUACUUACCCUUAACGUUCUUCGUUUCAUUAUUCUUAAUCCAUACUUACAUUCAUACCG